rnacentral:rRNA from 1 species
GACGAACGCUGGCGGCGUGCUUAACACAUGCAAGUCGAACGGAAAGGCCCUGCUUUUGUGGGGUGCUCGAGUGGCGAACGGGUGAGUAACACGUGAGUAACCUGCCCUUGACUUUGGGAUAACUUCAGGAAACUGGGGCUAAUACCGGAUAGGAGCUCCUGCUGCAUGGUGGGGGUUGGAAAGUUUCGGCGGUUGGGGAUGGACUCGCGGCUUAUCAGCUUGUUGGUGGGGUAGUGGCUGACCAAGGCUUUGACGGGUAGCCGGCCUGAGAGGGUGACCGGCGACAUUGGGACUGAGAUACGGCCCAGACUCCUACGGGAGGCAGCAGUGGGGAAUAUUGCACAAUGGGCGGAAGCCUGAUGCAGCAACGCCGCGUGCGGGAUGACGGCCUUCGGGUUGUAAACCGCUUUCGCCUGUGACGAAGCGUGAGUGACGGUAAUGGGUAAAGAAGCACCGGCUAACUACGUG